GACAGAAAUCGGCGUAAAGGGUGGUUAAUAGCACAUGCACUAAGGCCGAACAUCUUCAAGGCUGUCAUACGCACCCGAAGACAGGAAGCCCUCACACGAAAGUAGCCUUAACACACUAUGAACCCACGAAAGCUAGGAAACAAACUGGGAUUAGAUACCCCACUAUGCUUAGCCCUAAACACAAAUACUCCUUUACAAUGUAUUCGCCAGGGAACAACGAGCCCCAGCUUAAAACCCAAAGGACUUGGCGGUGCUUUAGACCCCCCUAGAGGAGCCUGUUCUAGAACCGAUACCCCCCGUUCAACCUCACCCUCUCUUGUUUUACCCGCCUAUAUACCGCCGUCGUCAGCUUACCCUGUGAAGGUUAAAUAGUAAGCAAAAUUGGCACAACCCAAAACGUCAGGUCGAGGUGUAGCGCACGGGAGGGGAAGAAAUGGGCUACAUUUGCUGUCCCAGCAAAUACGGACUUUGCACUGAAAUAAGCAUCUGAAGGAGGAUUUAGCAGUAAGGAGGGAAUAGAGCGCCCCCCUGAAAUCGGCCCUGAAGCGCGCACACACCGCCCGUCACUCUCCCCCGACCACUGCAAUCGAUAAAUAAUAGGCUUAGACU
rnacentral:rRNA from 1 species